UUUCCGUAGGUGAACCUGCGGAAGGAUCAUUAUUGGAUUUUGAAACUUCAGGCUGCUGCUGGCUCUCCUCGGAGGGCAUGUGCACGCUUGUUGUCCAUUAUUUCUCCCACUGUGCACAAAAUGUAGACCUUUCAGUAGGCCUAUGUUGUUUUUCACAAUCUCUGAAUGUAAUAGAAUGGUUUUGAAUCUUGGGAAAUAUAAUACAACUUUCAGCAACGGAUCUCUUGGCUCUC
rnacentral:misc_RNA from 1 species